rnacentral:rRNA from 1 species
CUGGCGGCAGGCCUAACACAUGCAAGUCGAGCGGUAGAGAGAAGCUUGCUUCUCUUGAGAGCGGCGGACGGGUGAGUAAUACCUAGGAAUCUGCCUGAUAGUGGGGGAUAACGUUCGGGAACGGACGCUAAUACCGCAUACGUCCUACGGGAGAAAGCAGGGGACCUUCGGGCCUUGCGCUAUCAGAUGAGCCUAGGUCGGAUUAGCUAGUUGGUGAGGUAAUGGCUCACCAAGGCUACGAUCCGUAACUGGUCUGAGAGGAUGAUCAGUCACACUGGAACUGAGACACGGUCCAGACUCCUACGGGAGGCAGCAGUGGGGAAUAUUGGACAAUGGGCGAAAGCCUGAUCCAGCCAUGCCGCGUGUGUGAAGAAGGUCUUCGGAUUGUAAAGCACUUUAAGUUGGGAGGAAGGGCAGUUACCUAAUACGUGACUGUCUUGACGUUACCGACAGAAUAAGCACCGGCUAACUCUGUGCCAGCAGCCGCGGUAAUACAGAGGGUGCAAGCGUUAAUCGGAAUUACUGGGCGUAAAGCGCGCGUAGGUGGUUUGUUAAGUUGAAUGUGAAAUCCCCGGGCUCAACCUGGGAACUGCAUCCAAAACUGGCAAGCUAGAGUAUGGUAGAGGGUAGUGGAAUUUCCUGUGUAGCGGUGAAAUGCGUAGAUAUAGGGAGGAACACCAGUGGCGAAGGCGACUACCUGGACUGAUACUGACACUGAGGUGCGAAAGCGUGG